rnacentral:misc_RNA from 1 species
GAAAUGCGAUAAGUAGUGUGAAUUGCAGAAUUCAGUGAAUCAUCGAAUCUUUGAACGCACAUUGCGCCCCUUGGUAUUCCAUGGGGCAUGCCUGUUCGAGCGUCAUUUGUACCUUCAAGCUCUGCUUGGUGUUGGGUGUUUGUCCACGUUUGUGCGUGGACUCGCCUUGAAUGCAUUGGCAGCCGGCAAUCUGGUGUUGGAGCGCAGCACAAUUUGCGCUUUAUACCAUGAUCGUUGGCGUCCAGUAAGCCUACACUUUAACGUUUGACCUCGGAUCAGGUAGGGAUACCCGCUGAACUUAA